ACUAUCGAGAAAAAGGAAAACAAUCAGGUUUUUAAAUAGAAGAGUGGAGAAAGGCUACGGGAACCCAGAAUCCACUGAAUUCCGGAAGGUGCAAGCUGCCUCUGGUUUGAUCCUGGCCCAUUCCCACCCUCCACUGCCCGGAAUGCCGGUGUUCCUGCCACAAAACCAAACUCUCCGAACCUAAGAACUGGGCUCACGGGCAUAAAGGACUUUUCUUACGUUCCUUUGACAAGGAGGGCAACUUAAGUUUAAGGCGGAAACCUUGGGGAAAGUCUCACGUUACUUACUUUGUCACCAGCAUUUGGAUUCUUAUCAGGGUGGUACUCCUUGGCUAGUUUUCUGUACGCCUUCAAUGAGGGGUAAAAAACAGACAAAAAACGGGAGGGUUAUAGACACAGACCAGCUUAAAGACUUGCCAGUACUAACGUACCCGC